rnacentral:rRNA from 1 species
UACAGAGGUGUCGAGCGUUGUCCGGAAUUACUGGGCGUAAAGGGUGUGUAGGCGGGCAUGUAAGUCGGAUGUGAAAUCGCCGGGCUUAACCCGACAAUUGCAUCCGAAACUGCGUGUCUCGAGUGCAGAAGAGGAGAGUGGAAUUCCCAGUGUAGCGGUGAAAUGCGUAGAUAUUGGGAGGAACACCAGUGGCGAAGGCGGCUCUCUGGUCUGCAACUGACGCUGAAACACGAAAGCUAGGGGAGCAAACGGG